rnacentral:rRNA from 1 species
UACGGAGGGUGCAAGCGUUGUCCGGAAUCAUUGGGCGUAAAGGGCGCGUAGGUGGCCCGGUCAGUCUUUGGUGAAAGCGCGGGGCUCAACCCUGCGUCGGCCAGGGAUACUGCCGCGGCUCGAGCACUGUAGAGGCAGGCGGAAUUCCGGGUGUAGCGGUGGAAUGCGUAGAGAUCCGGAAGAACACCGGUGGCGAAGGCGGCCUGCUGGGCAGUUUAGCUGACACUGAGGCGCGACAGCGUGGGGAGCAAACAGG